rnacentral:rRNA from 1 species
UACGAAGGGGGCUAGCGUUGUUCGGAUUUACUGGGCGUAAAGCGCACGUAGGCGGAUCGUUAAGUCGGGGGUGAAAUCCUGGAGCUCAACUCCAGAACUGCCUUCGAUACUGGCGAUCUUGAGUCCGGAAGAGGUGAGUGGAACUCCUAGUGUAGAGGUGGAAUUCGUAGAUAUCGCUUGGAACGCCAAAGGUGAAAACAGGUUGCUGGGGUUGUGCCGACGCUGAGACACGAAAGCCAGGGGAGCAAACGGG